rnacentral:lncRNA from 1 species
CAAUGACAGACUUCAGUGACUAAAUAAUUAAUGAAAUUUACCACUAGGUAUUUUUUUUUUUUUAUUAAUUUCUUUCUUUAUUUAUUUUUGCUUCUCAUCUGCACCUCUAUGAGCAGCUUCACCAUUAACAAUGCACAGCUAAUUAAAACAGCAUGAGUGCUGAUUAAUAUUUCUGAAAUAAAUAUUUCUGUGAAACGCAUUAGGUUGCACAGAAGAAAGACGAUAUAUUGAUAUAGCAGCAGAGGGCUAUUAUUUUGGUGAACGAACUAAGGAUGACGUCACGGGCUCAUAUUUGGUUGACCAAUCGGCGGAAAGGGGCGUGUCAUGACCGCCCACGAGGGGAAAACGAAUUUUGAGUGGUUUAUCCGUUUUCUACCCAUGAACCAAAAAAAACAAAAAAAAAAAAACGAAAAUACGAAGCCAAAAUCUUUUUUUGUUUUUUUUAUUUAUUAUUUUUAACAACGAAAAAAUGAGAAAAUGACAAUUUUCUCGUUUCUGCUUAUUUCAUUUCAAGUGGAAAAAAAAACUAUGAAAACGUACAUAGUUGGCUGUAUGUCAUGUCACUUUCACUUUCACCUUUAUAUAUAUAUACAGCUGCAUAGUGUCUAUGCCGACAGCAUCGUGGGUGAGUACCAGCCCAUGAACCUUUUUUUUAAACUUAAGCUCCCCCUUGUCAGGUGACACAUGACAGUGAAACUAUUACAGAAGGAUCCAUUUUGUCAUAUGAGAAAGUAAACCGCAUUUAGAGAGCAAAACAAUGAAACCACAGCCUUCAGAAUGAAUCUCUCUGAAGAACCUGAAAUAAACAUAAAUACAGUCAAGCGUCUGACUCAGUGGGGUGAAUCAGAUUUACCUGAAGACAUCAGUGUGUCUGUGAGGGAAAAUCUUUCCGACCUCUGCAGAGAAGACAACUCUUCUGCUGUGCCCAGUCUGUGUGAGAAUGAAUCCCCUGAACCCAGCUGUGUGUCCAUGAAGAGUGACUGGUCAAUGGACCGUCCAAUUAAAUUCAGUUUGGGAGAAUCAUCUGCUGAUCUGAGUCAAAAACCUAAGAAUCAGAAUCAUCUACGGCAAAGAAGAACAUAAACUCCAUUUUCAAGGUUGGUUUUGUUUGAGUAUUUGUGUGUGUGUGUGUGUGUGUGUGUGUGUGUGUGUGUGUGUGUGUGUGUGUGUGUGUGUAUAUCUUAUACUGUGUUCCGAAGAUGAACGGAGGUCUCACGGGUUUGGAACGACAUGAGGGUGAGUCAUUAAUGACAUAAUUUAUUUAAGUUAAUUUUUUCCCUCAUUAAUGUACACACAGCACCCCAUAUUGACAGAAAAACACAGAAUUGUUGACAUUUUUGCAGAUUUAUUAAAAAAGAAAAACUGAAAUAUCACAUGGUCCUAAGUAUUCAGACCCUUUGCUGUGACACUCGUAUAUUUAACUCAGGUGCUGUCCAUUUCUUCUGAUCAUCCUUGAGAUGGUUCUACAUCUUCAUUUGAGUCCAGCUGUGUUUGGUUACACUGAUUGGACUUGAUUAGGAAAGCCACACACCUGUCUAUAUAAGACCUUACAGCUCACAGUGCAUGUCAGAGCAAAUGAGAAUCAUGAGGUCAAAGGAACUGCCUGAAGAGCUCUGAGACAGAAUUGUGGCAAGGCACAAGGCAUCUGGCCAAGGUUACAAAAAAUUACAGACACUGCUCAUCACCUGUCCAAUACAGUCCCAACAGUGAAGCAUGGUGGUGGCAGCAUCAUGCUGUGGGGGUGUUUUUCAGCUGCAGGGACAGGACGACUGAUUGCAAUCGAGGGAAAGAUGAAUGCGGCCAAGUACGGGGAUAUCCUGGACGAAACCUUCUUCAGAGUGCUCAGGACCUCAGACUGGGCCGAAGGUUCACCUUCCAACAAGACAAUGACCCUAAGCACACAGCUAAAAUAACGAAGGAGUGGCUUCACAACAACUCCGUGACUGUUCUUGAAUGGCCCAGCCAGAGCCCUGACUUAUUGCCAAUUGAGCAUCUCUGGAGAGACCUGAAAAUGGCUGUCCACCAAUGUUUACCAUCCAACCUGACAGAACUGGAGAGGAUCUGCAAGGAGGAAUGGCAGAGGAUCCCCAAAUCCAGGUGUGAAAAACUUGUUGCACCUUUCCCAAAAAGAAUCAUGGCUGUAUUAGAUCAAAAGGGUGCUUCUACUAAAUACUGAGCAAAGGGUCUGAAUACUUAGGACCAUGUGAUAUUUCAGUUUUUCUUUUUUAAUAAAUGUGCAAAAAUGUCAUAAAUUCUGUGUUUUUCUGUCAAUAUGGGGUGCUGUAUGUACAUUGAGGAAAAAAAAUGAACAAAUGAUUUUAGCAAAUGGCUGCAAUAUAACAAAGAGUAAAAAAUUCAAGGGGGUCUGAAUACUUUCCGUACCCACAAGUUUGUACAGUAUUUAUUUGUACAGAAGUCCCAAUAAAACAUGAAAAUUCCAAUAUGUGUGUGUGUGUGUGUGUGUGUGUGUGUGUGUGUCCCAACAUAACAGACCUCUGCAAAGAAGUAUUAAGAAAUGAAGAAAAAAUCUGUGAAAUCAAACAAUUGUGCAUCAUCACACCUACUCUUACCCUCACAUUUAAUUUCCAAAUCAUCUUAUACAUAUAAAGUAAUAUGUAGACCAAUACAAAGUUGAUCAAUGUCCACUAAAAUAGAAAAGCUAAAUCCAUAUGUAACUUGACUGCUGCACAAAGUUGGUAAAAUCAGCUGGCGGAGUUCAUGAAUGGAAUAAACAUAUGGCAGGACUUUUACUUUCUGAUGCCUGGACUUUACACCUCUGAUAAAGAGUCACCUACCUCAGAUGUCUUCAGGAAAAGGGCUACCAAGCCACUUCUGAAACAGAAACAACAUCAGAAGCAUCUUACCUAGGCUAGGGAGAAAAAGAACUGGACUGUUGCUCAGUGGUCCAAAGUCCUCUUUUUAGAUAAAAGCUAAUUUUGCAUUUCAUUUGGAAAUCAAGGUCUGAAGUCUGGAGGAAGAUUGUUCCAAUUACCUGAAUUUGCUAAUUAGCACAGUUUUUCAGCCAGGAGGUCAGAGAUGGGACCAAGACAUUCCUUUAAAGUCACAAGCAAGUCUCAAGCAGAGGUGUAAAGUCCAGGGGUCAGAAAGUGAAAGUCCUGCCAUAUGUUUAUUCCAUCCAUGAACUCAGCCAGCUGAUUUCACCAGAGCAGGAACCAAGUCAUUCCUUUCAAGUCUCAACCAAGUCUAAAUUCAAAUACCAAGUCCUCAAAUAGUUAAAGUUAAUGAGAUAAUUAAGUGACUAAUUAAAUGACGAUUGCACAUUAUUGAUGAACAUCUGCUGUUAAAGGGUUAGUUCACCCAAAAAUGAAAAUUACUCACACUGAAGUCAUCCUAGGUGUAUAUGACUUUCUUCUUUCAGACAAAUCCAGUCAGAGUUAUAUAAAGAAUUGUCUUUGAUCUUUCAAGCUGUUUAAUGGCACUCAGCGGGUAUUGCAGUGCAUCAGUCCAAAAGAAGUGAAAUAAAAAGUGCCCAUCCAUUAAAAAAAAGUGUCUCAGAUGGCUCCGGCUGGUGAACAAAGUCCUCCUAUAGUGAAUCGAUGCGUUUUUGUAAGAAAAAUAUCCAUAUUCAAAAUAAUAAUCAGUUUAAUAAUAAUAAUCAGUUUAAUUUAGCUUGCGCUCACUGUUGUACACAGAAGCAGUUCCGGGCGGAUGACGUAUGAGAUCAGCGUUGCGCAUGCGUCGCUCAGAAGUGAGGAAUGUGGAAGCGCAGCAGAGAUCAAAACAAAACAACGGUCACUAAUUUAGAAGUACAAAACAAGGAUUUGUAAUGAAGAAUAUCAGAGGAUUUCAAUAUGAGCCAAGAAGAGACUGGUUUUCCUUUACUAAAGGAAACCUUGCUUCUUUUGCUUCUGUUAACAAACGUUUUCACGAGAAUCACUGGCGCAUGUUCAACAUUGACCUCAUCAAAGACAAUUUUCAAUUUGUGGUCAAGGUUUGCUUUAGUUUGUCUCUUGACCCUUUUAAUAAUUUAAAGUAAUUUGCUUCUAAACAAUUGCAAUAUCAUUUCACAGCAAGCAUUUGUGCAUUGCUGAAUCAGAAGCUUGAAGUAGCAGAUUAGCUUACACUUUCUGCUUAUAACUCCUUUAAAUGAACAUCAUGAAGUCGUGUCUCUCUUUGGUUUAUUGAUUGACAUUCUGCUAUUAUGGAACUCCAAAAAAAAGUCACAUUAAACAAAUGCCACUGUAAUACUUCAUUAUUGAAAAAAAUAACUGUGUGUGUGUGUGUGUGUGCGUGUGUGUGUGUCUCUCUCUCUCUCUCUCUCUCUACUAAUAUAGUAGGUCUUACUAUUAUUAGUAAAAAUAAACUAGUGUGUGUGUGUGUGUGUGCGUGUGUGUGUGUCUCUCUCUCUCUCUCUCUCUCUCUAAAUAUAAUGGGAGUUCACAUUUUAAUUUACAGUACAUAUAUGUAUAAAUUUAAUUCACUAUAAAUGUUAGAGCCACACUUUGUUCACAUGCUGUGGUUUCACGAGGCUGGUAAUGCAAAACCUAUACAUAUAAAAGAAAUAAGUUAAUUUGGAUGUAAUCAGGCCAGCUCAUGUUGACUGUAUCAUCAUAUAAAAAUAACUAAUAUCUGAACAGCACUGACCUCACUGUUUCACAACACCACAUGCAUUGCUACAGAGAGAGAUCUAACAAAGGAAGUCAAGGAUCAAGAGCCCAACACCGAUCUCCAUGAUGGUGACACCAUUUUAACCAUCAAAACAUCAACAUCUGAUCCUCUCUAAUUCUCAGUAACAGCAGGUGUUCAUCACUAAUGCACAAUCAUCAUUUAAUUAGUCACUUAAUUAUCUCAUCAACUUUAAAUUUAAGGACUUGGGAUUUGACUUGAGACUUGCUUGUUAUUGAAAGAAAUGACUUUGUCG